GCCGUGGGCGUCGAUACUUGAAAGGAGUUGCCCCUAGUACGAGAGGACCGGGGUGAACAUACCUCUGGUGUACCAGUCAUGCCGCCAGGCGUGCCGCUGGGUAGCUAUGUAUGGACGGGAUAACCGCUGAAAGCAUCUAAGCGGGAAGCCCCCUUCAAGAUGAGACUUCCCUGAGGCCUUGCGCCUCCUGAAGGGCCCUUGAAGACUACAAGGUUGAUAGGCUGGGUGUGGAAGCACAGCAAUGUGUUGAGCUAACCAGUACUAAUUGCCCGU
rnacentral:rRNA from 13 species